rnacentral:rRNA from 1 species
AGUGAACGCUGGCGGUAGGCCUAACACAUGCAAGUCGAACGGCAGCACAGUAAGAGCUUGCUCUUACGGGUGGCGAGUGGCGGACGAGUGAGGAAUACAUCGGAAUCUACUUUUUCGUGGGGGAUAACGUAGGGAAACUUACGCUAAUACCGCAUACGACCUACGGGUGAAAGCAGGGGAUCUUCGGACCUUGCGCGAUUGAAUGAGCCGAUGUCGGAUUAGCUAGUUGGCGGGGUAAAGGCCCACCAAGGCGACGAUCCGUAGCUGGUCUGAGAGGAGGAUCAGCCACACUGGAACUGAGACACGGUCCAGACUCCUACGGGAGGCAGCAGUGGGGAAUAUUGGACAAUGGGCGCAAGCCUGAUCCAGCCAUACCGCGUGGGUGAAGAAGGCCUUCGGGUUGUAAAGCCCUUUUGUUGGGAAAGAAAAGCAGCAGGUUAAUACCCCGCUGUUCUGACGGUACCCAAAGAAUAAGCACCGGCUAACUUCGUG